UUGUAUAUCGAUGGUUUGUAUGCUAACGGAAACGACGUCGUGUAAUCCCUCUUUCAAUCCCGGCCCCUUGCUUUUGGCUACGCAUGCAGAUAGUUUGAUGCUUUCCUUUCUUUGAGGCAUCCCAAUUCUGUUCAGUCAUUCCUUGAUCUUAAUAUUAAUAUGAUAGUUUCGUCUCUCUUUCUUAUCCGGUUGCUUUGAGACAGCGUCGGCUUCUCCCAAUCUUUCUUUCCUGGGGGCUAAAUAGAGGGGGCGGGGUGGAGUCGGAAGAAAGAAGAUCUUUUAUAGGGGUCGAAAUCGAAUACCAAGUCCAAAAAAUGCCUCUCCAUCGUCGGAACCGGAAAGUUUCGGGAGAUUGUGAAAGUUUCUGUUACAUUUCUUGAGCAUCAGGAUCUGCUUCUUCUUCUGCUUAUUUCGAUCUCUUGAGCCACUGCAUCAGAUCGGCUUCUGUUUUUCUUCCCACUACAUCCGGAAAUGGUGAGGAGUACCAAAGCUUGGUGAAGCAGCAUGUGGAUUUGGAGACAGUACAAAGAAGGAUCGUCAAGGGCACCUAUUCCUCAUGCACCCUCGGAUUCUACCGAGACCUCCUGCUUCUCUUCAACAACGCUGCGUUAUUCUUUCCCAUGUCAUCCCUUGAGUCCAUCACUGCCCACCAGCUUCGCCACCUCCUGUUGAAUGAGAUCCCUAAACGCAGCAACUCAUUCCCAAAAGAACAUUCUCCGGCACCGAAUGCUGCAGCAUCACCGUUCCAGCCUAAACCCGAGUUAGAAAGAUCUCAUGCAUUGCUUGCAAAACACAACUCGCCUGCUCCGAUAAUUGUUUGCCGCAAAAGGAGUUCCAUUUCAGCUAAACCUAAUUCCUCCGCCACUACCUCCAGUCAAAAAGAAAAGCAAGGAAGCUAGUGACGAGAAUACACCGGCUCUUUAUGCAGAGUUAUUGCAAAAUAUUGUUCAUUUGGGGUUUAGGGUUCUUGAUGGCUUUAUGCUUAUUGGCCCACCAAGUUGUUUUAUUAAUAUUUGAGUCCUGUUGAAAUUCAUUAUAGUUGUCCUGUCAUGGUGAUUCAUUAAAUGGCAUAGGUCUUUGUCUUUUAUUUCAAAAUUCUUAAACUAUAUAGUUUGGAAAGCUUUAAGCAA